GCCCUGGUGGUCUAGCGGUAUGAUUCUUCCUUAGGGUUGUUGCUCCACAGCAAUGAACAACUGGAAGAGGUCCCAGGUUCGAUCCCUGGCCAGGGCC
rnacentral:tRNA from 1 species